GGAGAAGGAGCCUGAGAAACGGCUACCACAUCCAAGGAAGGCAGCAGGCGCGUAAAUUACCCAAUCCUGAUACAGGGAGGUAGUGACAAUAAAUAACAAUGCCGGGCCAUCAUUGGUCUGGCAAUUGGAAUGAGAACAAUUUAAAUCCCUUAUCGAGGAUCAAUUGGAGGGCAAGUCUGGUGCCAGCAGCCGCGGUAAUUCCAGCUCCAAUAGCGUAUAUUAAAGUUGUUGCAGUUAAAAAGCUCGUAGUUGGAUUUGUGGCGUACGGUGUGUUCCGGGCACUUGUUGUCUGAGUAACCUGCCGUUGCCAUCCUUGGGUGGAACCUGUGUGGCAUUAAGUUGUCGUGCAGGGGAUGCCCAUCAUUUACUGUGAAAAAAUUAAAGUGUUCAAAGCAGCUUAUGCCCGUUGAAUAUAUUAUCAUGGAAUAAUAAGAUAGGACUUG
rnacentral:rRNA from 1 species